rnacentral:rRNA from 1 species
CCAGACUCCUACGGGAGGCAGCAGUGGGGAAUAUUGCACAAUGGGCGAAAGCCUGAUGCAGCAACGCCGCGUGAAGGAAGAAGGGUUUCGGCUCGUAAACUUCUAUCAACAGGGACGAAAGAAAUGACGGUACCUGAAUAAGAAGCCCCGGCUAACUACGUGCCAGCAGCCGCGGUAAUACGUAGGUGGCGAGCGUUAUCCGGAAUUACUGGGUGUAAAGGGUGUGUAGGCGGGAGUGCAAGUCAGACGUGAAAACUAUGGGCUCAACCCAUAACGUGCGUUUGAAACUGUGCUUCUUGAGAGUGGGAGAGGUAAACGGAAUUCCUGGUGUAGUAGUGAAAUGCGUAGAUAUCAGGAGGAACACCGGUGGCGAAGGCGGUUUACUGGACCACAACUGACGCUGAGACACGAAAGCGUGGGGAGCAAACAGGAUUAGAUACCCCCGUAACC